GACGAACGCUGGCGGCGUGCUUAACACAUGCAAGUCGAACGGAAAGGCCCUGCUUUUGUGGGGUGCUCGAGUGGCGAACGGGUGAGUAACACGUGAGUAACCUGCCCUUGACUUUGGGAUAACUUCAGGAAACUGGGGCUAAUACCGGAUAGGAGCUCCUGCUGCAUGGUGGGGGUUGGAAAGUUUCGGCGGUUGGGGAUGGACUCGCGGCUUAUCAGCUUGUUGGUGGGGUAGUGGCUUACCAAUGCUUUGACGGGUAGCCGGCCUUAGAGGGUGACCGGCCACAAUGGGACUGAGAUACGGCCCAGACUCCUACGGGGGGCAGCAGUGGGAAAUAGUGCACAAUGAGCGGAAGCCGGAUGCAGCAACGCCGCGUGCGGGAAGACAGCCUUCGGGUUGUAAACCGCUUACUCCUGUGACGAAGCGUGAGUGACGGUAAUGGGUAAAGAAGCACCGGCUAACUACGUG
rnacentral:rRNA from 1 species